GUGGUUGUAGCUCAGCUGGUUAGAGCGCUGGUUUGUGGCACCAGAGGUCGCCGGUUCGAACCCGGUCUCCCACC
rnacentral:tRNA from 2 species